AGCUUUGCGCAGUGGCAGUAUCAUGGCCAAUGAGGUUUAUCCGAGGUGCGAUUAUUGCUAAUUGAAAAAGAGGGUAGCUGGAAAACAUAUUCAUCAGAGGAAAUACAAUUUGCAACUAAGACAGAGCUUUCCAAAUUCCUGCAUUAGACUGCCGCCU
ensembl:snRNA U4 U4 spliceosomal RNA